rnacentral:lncRNA from 1 species
CUGGCUUUUUAGCCCAAAGACAACAACAUUCCUUCUCUAAAGUUGCAGGGGAAGGCUGGUCUGGACAUGAAUGUGGCUGAAGCUCAAAACUCCUUCCCCCGGUAGCCUGGUGUGUGGUUAUAUUCUAAGGAAAAUGGCUUCCUGUGUGACUCAUUUGAGAGCACUGUGCCACUAGCAAGCUAUAAUGCUGACAAGUUCCUCGUGAUGGCUAGGAGGAUAGUAGUUGUAUGGAGGAGAAAUUUCCCAGCACCUGAUUUUUAUGGCAUAUGAUCAUGGCAAAACCCGCACCUGCUGCAGCGUGUUUUCCGGCAUGGUUGCUAGCUGAUUGUAACAUUUGUGGGAAGAAGCUUCCUCUUCCUGCACCCUAAGAAAACAUUGUCAUGCUUGUGACAGCAGUGUGUACUUUGGUCUCUGCAACAGGUUUCUGGACCACCUGUUAUCCACUGUGACAUCAUAGGGCAACAUCCCAGCAACAGUGAGUGAAACAGAACAGAUUUUCCAUUUCCUCUCUGGGAACGGUGCCCUUUGAAAAGAAUAGGAAGACAUUCUCAAGGUAGCAAGCGGAGGACUAAGAGUCAUUUACAUUGCCUGUCCUAGGAGAAAUGGCUUAUUUUGGACCCCAAGCUUGUGAAACAGGGCAUUUUGGAUAGAUCCAUGUGUGAGACAGAUUCUAAUUCUAGUUAGGCUCACUGUGGGCAAUUGCAUAGGUAAGAUCAGUCAUAGGUUCUCUUCAAAGGAUGAGUGAAAUGACCAGAACCAUAGGGAUUAUUUUUUGAAUCCUUGAGGUUCUCAGGCUUAGUCUGGCACUUCAAGGAUCCCCUAUAUGCUAUUAAUAAUGUUUCCAUUUUCUUUUCAGGGAUCCUUGUAGUACCAGACUGGGGCUGAGAGCCUCAAGGUUUGUAAAUAAGCCCUGUGGUUCUGGCCAUUUUACUUGUCCUUUAGAGAGAACCACUAAUGCCCUUCCAACCUCAUAAUGAUUGCGGCGAGGAAUAUCAACAAGGAAAUCUCCGUUCAACAGAAGAGAGCUUUGAGGAAAGAGAAGCUAAGAAAGGGAGUAAAUAUGGGUAAAAAGGACACUGCACAUGUGGGAAGUCCACCAUAAAGGAAGAAUCACAGGAAAGAGGUAAGCCUGUAAAGUCCCAGGAUCAAGGUUAAAGGCCCUUUUCUCUCUCUUUGACCUUCAGGUGCUCACUUGGAUCUCUUCCAUGGGUUCUUUUUUUUCUUUCCUAUUCUAAAGCCUUUUUAAUAAACUUCCACUUCUGCUCUGUAACAUGCCUCAGUCUCUUUUUGGCUUUCUGCCCCUCAGUUGAAUCCUUCUAAGGAGGCAAGGGCUGAAGCUGCUACAGACCUGCACGGAUACCCCGCCAGUGACUUAGGGUAACGUGGAUCUCUUCUACCCUAAUAGUGAUAUGAACAGGAGAUAGGGAAACACCAGGUAGAAGAGGGUGGUCCCCUGAAAAGGCCCC